UACGUAGGGGGCAAGCGUUGUCCGGAAUUAUUGGGCGUAAAGAGUGUGUAGGCGGCUUGGUAAGUCCGCUCUGAAAGCCAGGGGCUCAACCCCUGGAGGCGGGUGGAUACUGCCGGGCUAGAAUCCGGAAGAGGCGAGUGGAAUUCCUGGUGUAGCGGUGGAAUGCGCAGAUAUCAGGAGGAACACCAAUAGCGAAGGCAGCUCGCUGGGACGGUAUUGACGCUAAGGCGCGAAAGCGUGGGGAGCGAACAGG
rnacentral:rRNA from 1 species